UGUUUCUUGUAAGUCUCCAACAGUCUGUUUCAGGUUUCUUGAGCUGGAGUUUUCACAUUUCUCAUGUCUGGUAUCAACAGCAUUUUGAAAUCAUGCAACACUUCAGACAUUUCUUGACCCAUAGGAGAGGAAGGAUACCAUUGGGCUCCUACUGGGGACACUAGGCAACAAACAGAAUUCAAACCUGAAAGGACUGAAAUGUCUCAGGAAGGUUCAGCUGUCAGUUCAGUUCUCUGUAAGGUUCAUGCAGAGACAGCUCAAUGGAUCCUUGUCCACUGCAGUGAAUUGUGGGAUGGGACACAACCAUCACACAUCAUGGGAAGUGACUUGACCUGAUGAAGCAGACCUGAGGAACACAAGAAAAAUCUACUUGGGAGCUGCUUAAACAGGUACACUGUUGCACCAGAGACAUACAUUUUC